GGCCCGCCCCGCCAUGUUCCCCCGAGCGGCGGCCGCGAGGGACGCGGGGCCCGGGACGUUUAAAGGGCAAAUUAAAGUUAUCUGGUGCCUGCUGGGGAACGCGGUGUCACAGCAUGUGCCCGCUGUAUUUAUAGCUCCCGGGAGGCACCGGAGGGAAGAUGGGGAGCCGGCAGGAGCGCUUCAGGCCGUGUUAAGCGUUCCGUGCGGGCGAGAGGCAGCGGCUGAGGGCUGAGGGCUGCCCGGGGCGGUCUGAGGAGAGGAGAGCAGAGCAGAGCAGAGCGCGCCCAGCCCGCGGCAGUGCAUUAGCCUUGCCCUCAUGCGCGUGGAGUCACGCAGAGAGGGGCGCCAGGGGUGUCGUGCCCAGCAGCAAAGGUCCCCAGGGAUGCACUGCCAGCCGGGAAAGGGGGUGCUGUGUUCACAGGCAUCAGGGACCAGGACUGGACUGCGCCUCUCUUGAGUCAAGGCCAGAGCUGCUUCAUGCUGUGCGCACUGUGCGGGGCUUGCAGGCAUCGAGGUCUUUAAAUAGCCCAGCCUGCGCUGGGACUCGGCUUUCCCGAGGAGGAGACAGCAUGCCUUUCUGCAUUAUACCCUCAUUUCACCCCUGCAAGGAAAGCAAACACCCAUUUAACAUUUCGAGGCUUCUGCUGCUGGUUUCACACAGACCCCUGGGAUAAUGAUGCUCAGAGCUGCUGCCUGACUACCCAGACUGCUAAGGUCUCCUCAGGGUGUGCACUCAGGUGUCAGCCCUGCUGGCUGGGGUAUGUUCGUUGCCAGGGAUAUGCUUGUCAUGGUGUUCACCAGAUCACUUGGAAGGUGUGACAGCUGCCAACAGUAUCAGCAAUGCCUGGGCAGGUGUGUGAUCAGAGCAAAGCCAAGCUAUGGCUGAAACCCUCUGUAUUUUCCAGAAGACACAAUUUUCCUUUGCUGCUGGUGAGUAACACAUCUUAGCAGUAACAUUUCAAAUGUCCUGAUGAGGAAAUAAAGUUUUUCAC